UGUCUUCCCAUCAUCCCAUCCCUCUGUCCUCCCAUCAUCCCGUCCUUCUGUCUUCCCAUCAUCCCGUCCUUCUGUUCUCCCAUCAAUCUGUCUUUCCGUCCUCUUGUCAUCCAUUCCUUCUGUCCUUCUGUCCUUCCAUCUUUCCAUCAUCCUGUCCUCCCAUCACCCCGUCCCUCUGUCCUCCCAUCACCCCGUCCCUCUGUCCUCCCGUCACCCCGUCCCUCUGUCCUCCCAUCAUCCCGUCCCUCUGUCCUCCCAUCAUCCCGUCCUUCUGUCCUUCCAUCUUUCCAGCAUCCCGUCCUCCCAUCAGUCUGUCUUUCUGUUCCCCUGUCAUCCCAUCCGUUCAUCAUCCUGUCCUCCCAUCACCCCGUCCCUCUGUCCUCCCAUCAUCCCGUCCUUCUGUCCUUCCAUCUUUCCAUCAUCCCGUCCUCCCAUCAGUCUGUCUUUCCGUCCUCCUUUCAUCCCUUCCUUCUGUCCUUCCGUCAUCCCGUCCGUUCAUCAUCCUGUCCUCCCAUCAUCCCGUCUUCCUGUCCUUCCAUCAUCCUCUCCUAUCAUCCCAUCCUUCUGUCCUUCUGUCCUUCCUUCAUCCCAUCCUCCCAUCAAUCCAUCCCCCCAUCAUCCCGUCCUUCUGUCCUUCCAUCGUCCCAUCCCUCUGUCCUCCCGUCCUCCUGUCCUUCAUCCCAUCCUCCCAUCCUCCUGUCUUUCCAUCAUCAUCCUCUCCUAUCAUCCCAUCCGUCUGUCCUUCUGUCCUCCCAUCCUCCCAUCAUCCCACCCUUCCAUCAUCCCGUCCCUCUGUCCUCCCAUCCUCCCGUCUUUCCAUCCUCCCGCCAUCCCCUCCUUCCACCAUCCCCAUUCUUCCAAGAUUCCCCCAUUCCUUCAUCCCAUCCUUCUGCCAUCCCACCCAAUCCCCGAUCCUAAUCUCCGUGAUUCCAUCAUUCUGCAAUCCCAGUCCUUCCCUUCCCUGACCCCACUCUUCCACGACCCCACCCUUCCAUGA
rnacentral:lncRNA from 1 species